GACGAACGCUGGCGGCGUGCUUAACACAUGCAAGUCGAACGGAAAGGCCCUGCUUUUGUGGGGUGCUCGAGUGGCGAACGGGUGAGUAACACGUGAGUAACCUGCCCUUGACUUUGGGAUAACUUCAGGAAACUGGGGCUAAUACCGGAUAGGAGCUCCUGCUGCAUGGUGGGGGUUGGAAAGUUUCGGCGGUUGGGGAUGGACUCGCGGCUUAUCAGCUUGUUGGUGGGGUAGUGGCUUACCAAGGCUUUGACGGGUAGCCGGCCUGAGAGGGUGACCGGCCAAAGUGGGAACGGGGAGCGGGCCAGACGCCUACGGGAGGGAGGAGUUGGGAAAUAUGCACCAAGGGCGGGAGGCUGAAUGAGGAACGGCGGGGUCGGGAUGAAGGCCUUUCGGGUGGAAACCGGUUUUGGCUUGGGCGAAGGGGUGGUGAAGGUAAUGGGUAAAGAAGCACCGGCUAACUACGUG
rnacentral:rRNA from 1 species